rnacentral:rRNA from 1 species
AUACCGGCAGCUCAAGUGGUCGUCGCUUUUAUUGGGCCUAAAACGUCCGUAGCCUGUUUGGUAAAUCUGUGGGUAAAUCAACCAGCUUAACUGGUUGAAUUCUGCAGAGACUGCCAGACUAGGGACCGGGAGAGGUGUGGGGUACUCUAGGGGUAGGGGUAAAAUCCUGUCAUCCUUAGAGGACCACCAGUUGCGAAGGCGCCACACUAGAACGGAUCCGACGGUCAGGGACGAAGCCUAGGGGCACGAACCGGAUUAGAUACCCGGGUAGUCCUAGGUGUAAACGCUGUGAACUUGGUGUCGGGAGUCCGCAAUGGGCCCCCGGUGCCGGAGUGAAGAUGUUAAGUUCACUGCCUGGGGAGUACGUCGCAAGGCUGAAACUUA